GGACGGAACACAAGGUGCUGCAUGGCUGUCGUCAGCUCGUGCCGUGAGGUGUUGGGUUAAGUCCUAUAACGAGCGCAACCCUCUUACCUAAUUGCCAGCACGUAAAGGUGGGGACUUUAGGUAGACAGUCCGCGCAAGCGGAAGGAAGGAGAGGAUGAGGUCAAGUCAUCAUGGCCUUUAUGCCCAGGGCUACAAACGUACUACAAUGGCGUGUACAGAGGGAAGCUACUUGGCAACAAGAUGCAAAUCUCGAAAGCACGUCUCAGUUCGGAUUGGGGUCUGCAAUUCGACCCCAUGAAGUUGGAAUCGCUAGUAAUCGCGUAUCAGCAAUGACGCGGUGAAUACGUUCUCGGACCUUGUACACACCGCCCAUCAAGCCAUGGGAG
rnacentral:rRNA from 5 species